GACACCCGCUGAGUUUAAGCAUAUAACUAAGCGGAGGAAGAGAAACUUACGAGGAUUCCCCUAGUAACGGCGAGCGAACCGGGAAAUGCCCAGCGUGAAAAUCCGGCGGCGGCGGCCGCCCGAAUUGUAGUCUGCAGAAGCGUCCCCUGCGGCGGACCGGGCCUGAGUCCCCUGGAACGGGGCGCCGGAGAGGGUGACAGCCCCGUCGGGCUCGGACCCUGCUGCAUCACGGGGCGCUAUCGGCGAGUCGGGCUGUUUGGGAAUGCAGCCCCAAGCGGGCGGUAAACUCCGUCCAAGGCUAAAUACGUGCGAGGGACCGAUAGCGAACAAGUACCGCGAGGGAAAGAUGAAAAGGACUUUGAAAAGAGAGUUAAACAGUGCUUGAAAUUGUCGGGGGGGAAGCGCGUGGAGGCCAACGUUGCCUCCCGGCCGGACGUGGAACGGGGCGCGUGCGCCUCGGUCCGCCGCUCGGUCCGGGAGGCGAGUCCGCGUGGAUCGACGCCGCGGCACAAGCGCGCGCAGCGGGCUGCGCGCGUUCCGCCGCUGCGACGAUCGAGGGUCCAAGCGCGCGCCCCUUCGCGGGGCGGGCCUCGCGGCGCCUGCGCGCUC
rnacentral:rRNA from 1 species